GCGGGCGUGGUGGAAACUGGUAGACACGCCAGAUUUAGGUUCUGGUGGCUUCGGCCGUGGGGGUUCGAGUCCCUUCGCCCGCACCA
rnacentral:tRNA from 1 species